UACGGAGGGUGCGAGCGUUGUCCGGAAUUACUGGGCGUAAAGCGUGCGCAGGCGGUUUUGUAAGUCUGUCGUGAAAUCCCCGGGCUCAACCUGGGAAUUGCGAUGGAGACUGCAAGGCUAGAAUCUGGCAGAGGGGGGUAGAAUUCCACGUGUAGCAGUGAAAUGCGUAGAGAUGUGGAGGAACACCGAUGGCGAAGGCAGCCCCCUGGGUCAAGAUUGACGCUCAUGCACGAAAGCGUGGGGAGCAAACAGG
rnacentral:rRNA from 1 species